UUGGCUAAAUCUUUGAGAACGUUCUGCAAAAGAGGUUUUAAAAGUAAAUUAUUAUUUCAAGAUUUUACAAGAAAAUUGCACUGAAGAACUGAAGCUUUGAGUUCUUGGCUCAGCCUUUGCUCUCAAUUUGUCAGCUCAUACAUGGGUUAUGCUGCUGAUGGUAAUGAGUGGCUGAUGAGGUGGGUGGGAUCUCACAGGUCACCAGGUGUUUCAAGCCUGAACCCCGCCAUUUGGAAUGGAGCAUCUGCACUGUGUAAAGCAGGAUGACCAUGCUGGAAGCUCAUCUAAACCACACUGCUGAGCCAAUCAGCCAAAUGCUUUUCACGGGCUGCUUCCAUUUAAAACCACAAGCAGCAAGCUGACAUUUCUCUUCAGCAUCAUAGGAUGGGAAGCUCUGAAAUACCCAAUAGCAAUCUCAGCUUGUACCUUAUUUUGGUUUUCUCUGAGUUUUUUUUUUUUUUUUUCUCCAUGUUGCAGCUGCUCUAUUCUUCAGUAAAAAGAGGUUAAAAAAUUAUUGGUGCAAAUGAAAAGGUUUAUGAGAACGGAAACUAGAAUACAGAAUAGAAAUGAGCAUAGGGAAAGAUUAAUAGCAAAACCUAUUGUGGGCUUUCUGUGGUAGCAGCCAAUUUGACUUGCUUUCAUUAAAAUUCUCCUUGUUAGCUGGGGUGAUGUGUUGGGGUGAUGGACUGUUUGAUGUCUAAGAAGUGGUGAAAAGUUAGGUGUCUAAUGAUGGACUAAUUAGAAAGCCCAUCCUAGCAGGAUCCAUGGAAAUUGAUUUGCACAGUGCCAUUUUUGCUAAUGAGAAUCAUGAAUACAUGUUUGCAGUCCUUUACUUACUCUUCCUACCCACAGCUAAUGAAAGAGAAGCAAUCAUUAAGAGCUCAGCUACAAACCAGUUUCCUUUGCCUUGUAGGAAUAGCCAUACUCUUAAGAAAUUCACUUUUAAAUAAUAGUCUUGAUAGCAAAGCAAGCUCUACGCAUCUCCCUCCUAUAAAAUGCCUGCCUUUCCUAAUGCAUCUCUUCUCCAGUUACCCUCACUGAACAGGGAGUCAGUGUGUUCUGUCUGCAGUUUACAGAAAAUUGUCAUUACCUUGUGAAACUAGAAGAAACUAUAAAUAUUUGGAUUGAGUAAAAUUAAAAUUAAAUGGUUUUUCCUACAAGGGCAUAACAUGUCCAUUCACAAGUAGGUCAAACGUUUUUAAUAUUUAUGCGUAUAAGACAAACAAUAAACCUGUUACUUUCAGUAUCUCGUUCCAUGAUUUUGAGUGCACAUUUACCAAGUUGCUUUCAGAUGCUUUUAAUCUGCCCAGACGGUGUAUGCCCAGCCAGGCCCCAUAUGGCACAAAGAAGAUAAUCCACAAAAUCAGAGCUCUUUGCAAAAAGACCUCACGAAUAAAAUGUGGUAUUGAUCAGUGUGGUGUGGCUACCCUUAAGGAAAUCCUUGGUUGUCCCUGGGACUCUAUCCUCCUGUCACCUUCCUAACAUCUUAGGGCUUGCUAUCAAACUGGCCUUCCCUGGCCAAAAAUGAUCAGGCACUGCCUUGCCUUUCUCUUUCGCCUGCGUAUGUUCCUGUAAAUUCUACCGUAAUUGAAGAAAACUGUAGACUUGCUCAAUUACCCUUAAUUUAGCUCUUUUACGUACAUUUUGACUGGUGCAACCAGUGACUGAGAUGUAGCAUUAGGGUCUAGGAACUAGCUGUAGAGAAGUUUCAAUACAUUUUCUGUGAACUGGAUGUCCCAAAAAUGCUGUCAGACAUAGGUGGGGCUGAGGAAGUGGAAGCUAGAAGUGUGAAGUGACAAGCAGCUGAGAGCUGAAAGUAAGAGAGACAGCAAGGGAGUGGUGAAAUGCUGUUGGAGGGAGCAAUGAAAGAGUCAGAGCUUCAGGUUCUGUAGGGAAAACCAGAAACAAGGGGAUAGGUAGCUGGGCCUGGAUUAGGAGAAGGGAUAGCAGAGGAAUCUGAGAGGGAUUUAUCAGAAGGGAAAAUAAGAAUGGCAGGAGGAAGACGGGAAACGUGAGUGACUAUCAGUUCUUUAGCUUUCUUGUUAGUUAAUAGCAAGCAGGUGCAGAAACUUUCAAAUAUCUGUAAGAGAUUUUAGUAAGAGAAGGACAGUAAUUUGUUCUGGGCAGGAGAGAUUACAUGCAGACACUAUCACAAAAUAAUAAGAUAGUGGUUUCAAUGUCUAAUUUAAAUAUGAUCAAGAGAAAUCCAAUUUAUUUUAAGGUAACUAAAGAAAAUGAGUUACUUCCAUGUGACCAGGGAGAAAGAUCUUCCAUCUUGCAACAAAGGAAUUUGAGCAAAGUCAGCACGUUAACUUUUUUCUGAGGUUGAGCCUGACUGCUUUAUCUUGCAAGAGAAGUGCCUGCGUUCACAGUUCUAGUUCAAGGAAGUUCCUUUGCAUUAGUUCCCUGAAGCAAAAGCCUUAUCUGUUUUUAGCAGUGAAAACGUCUGUAAAUGUGUUCAUCUAAUGGCUUGCUUUUUCCCCUGAAAGAUGAGAUUUUCUAAUUUAAAAAUCUACUUCUAAUUCCUCAAUUCGUGUUUUGUGAUGUAGCAUCAGUAAAACAUACGUGCAUGUAUAUAUUUCAGGUGUAUAUUAGGAACAACUAGAUAUGGUAGGUAUAAGAUUUGCAGUUUCUUUGCUGUUCUGACUUACCUCUCAACAUCAGCUUUUUUUCAUUAUUAUUAUUCCUUUUUGUUCCUGUAAUGGAAACUACAUAAGGGAUUAGGAAGAAACAUCAAACCCGUAUACACUUUUUGCACUGUUACUGGAGCGGGUUUUCAGCCUACCUAUAAUGCAUGCCAUUUAACAUCUAAAUCCUCUGACCAUUACAUAAAAAGAAAGAAAGAACUAACACUUUCUUUAAAUUAGCCUUUUUUGGUCUUUUUUGUGUUCAGUGCUUUUUAAAAAAAUGAAAA